UACGAAGGGGGCUAGCGUUGCUCGGAAUUAUUGGGCGUAAAGGGCACGUAGGUGGUUUCGUGUGUCUGGGGUGAAAGCCUUGAGCUUAACUCAAGAAGUGCCUUAGAAACGGCGAGACUAGAGUCUUGGAGAGGGUAGUGGAAUUCCCGGUGUAGCGGUGGAAUGCGUAGAGAUCGGGAGGAACACCAGAGGCGAAGGCGGCGACCUGGACAAGUACUGACACUCAACUGCGAAAGCGUGGGGAGCAAACAGG
rnacentral:rRNA from 1 species